GAAAACUUGAGCGCUCCUUGGCAAUGUUUGUGAAUGGAUCGGCGCGUUCGCCUUGACGCUCGUCUGUCUCAGCUCUGCAAACGAGAUAAGGAGUGGUGGGCCCCUUGGCAAUGUUUGUGAAUGGAUCGGCGUGUUCGCCCUGACGCUCGUCUGUCUCAGCUCUGCAAACGAGAUAAGGAGUGGUGGGCACACCCUGCUGACUACACCAGCGACACCCUGGCUGCUCCCACUGCAGCCCAGCCAGCAGCAGGGCCGGGGAGAGAUGCCUGAUGGGCACGGAGUGUGAAAGGAUCCGCGGGGAGCUGAGGAUGUUUGUCCAGCCGUAAAGAGAACAGAUUACUGAGAAGAUUAAAGUCCUUGGCCUGCACCUAAAGAUGAAGAGAUAGAGGCACAUAUGAAUGAUGUGCGAGCAGAGCAGGGUGCACCUUGUGUGUGUGAUGACGGGGACUGCAUGAGAGCCCCUGCUGGCUGGAGGCGUGGGAAUGUGCCCAGAUCUGCCUCCCAGCAGAUGCAGUUGGGUGCCAGACGCUUCCCGCAUCGUGUGAAGCACGGAGGGUUUGUUUUGUUGUUUGUUUUUUUUUUUUUUAAACUCG
rnacentral:lncRNA from 12 species